rnacentral:rRNA from 1 species
AAAUUGAAGAGUUUGAUCAUGGCUCAGAUUGAACGCUGGCGGCAGGCCUAACACAUGCAAGUCGAACGGUAACAGGAAGCAGCUUGCUGCUUUGCUGACGAGUGGCGGACGGGUGAGUAAUGUCUGGGAAACUGCCUGAUGGAGGGGGAUAACUACUGGAAACGGUGGCUAAUACCGCAUAACGUCGCAAGACCAAAGAGGGGGACCUUCGGGCCUCUUGCCAUCAGAUGUGCCCAGAUGGGAUUAGCUAGUUGGUGAGGUAACGGCUCACCAAGGCGACG